rnacentral:rRNA from 1 species
AUGUUUAAACAUAGAAAUGCAAACUCCUCGGAAUCGCUGAAGACAGCAGCCAGAAAAGAUUUCUAUACAAUCAAAUCCUACAAGGAGACAGUUGAAAAUCAAUAUAUUGCCCAGCCAAACACAUUUUGCAAAUUCGGCAAUGCCACUCAGAUUUUCACCAUACUUUCGGUUCAGAUAGAUGCAAGGAACCGUCACACCCUUCUAGGCCAGAGCCUGUACAAAACUGCAACGGUCCAUGAUGCAUCACAUGAUUCCAAUUUCUUCGAGCGACAGAGCAGAUUGCUCCCCACCGGAUCCAUGAUCCAUCUGGACACUCCCCUCACAACCACCCCCAACGCCAAAAACCAUUGUCACGCCUACGCAUUUUCUAUCCCGACGCCUAGCCCUCAGCAAUGA